UACGUAGGGGGCAAGCGUUGUCCGGAAUCAUUGGGCGUAAGGUAGGCGUAGGUGGUGGGGUAGGUACUGGUGUGAAAUCUCGGGGGCUCAACCCCGAAACUGCACUGGAUACUGCCUUGCUAGAGUACUGGAGAGGAGAUUGGAAUUUACGGUGUAGCAGUGAAAUGCGUAGAUAUCGUAAGGAAGACCAGUGGCGAAGGCGAAAUCUCUGGACAGUUACUGACACUGAGGCACGAAGGCCAGGGGGAGCAAAACGGG
rnacentral:rRNA from 1 species